rnacentral:SRP_RNA from 1 species
GCCAGGCAUGGUGGCGCAUGCCUGUAAUCCCAGCUACUUGGGAGGCUGAGGCAGGAGAAUUGCUUGAGCCUGGGAGGCAGAGGUUGCAGUGAGCUGAGAUCGUGCCACUGUACUCCAGCCUGGGCAACAGAGUGAGACUCUGUCUAAA